UGGGGAAUAUUGCACAAUGGGCGCAAGCCUGAUGCAGCCAUGCCGCGUGUAUGAAGAAGGCCUCGGGUUGUAAAGUACUUUCAGCGGGGAGGAAGGGAGUAAAGUUAAAACCUUUGCUCAUUGACGUUACCCGCAGAAGAAGCCCCGCCUAACUCCGUCCCAGCAGCCGCGGUAAUACGGAGGGUGCAAGCGUUAAUCGGAAUUACUGGGCGGAAAGCGCACGCAGGCGGUUUGUUAAGUCAGAUGUGAAAUCCCCGGGCUCAACCUGGGAACUGCAUCUGAUACUGGCAAGCUUGAGUCUCGUAGAGGGGGGUAGAAUUCCAGGUGUAGCGGUGAAAUGCGUAGAGAUCUGGAGGAAUACCGGUGGCGAAGGCGGCCCCCUGGACAAAGACUGACGCUCAGGUGCGAAAGCGUGGGGAGCAAACAGG
rnacentral:rRNA from 1 species